GACGGAGGGUGCAAGCGUUAUUCGGAAUUAUUGGGCGUAAAGAGUGUGUAGGCGGCCGGUUAAGUCAGGCGUGAAAGCCCAGGGCUCAACCCUGGAAGUGCGUUUGAUACUGGUCGGCUUGAGUUCGGGAGAGGGAAGCGGAAUUCCGGGUGUAGAGGUGAAAUUCGUAGAUAUCCGGAGGAACAUCGGUGGCGAAGGCGGCUUCCUGGACCGAAACUGACGCUGAGACACGAAAGCGUGGGGAGCAAACAGG
rnacentral:rRNA from 1 species